CUUGAAGCAAUUUCUUUCAUUGGCCAGGCAUGGCUCUCAUGAUGACAUUGGUGUUCUUAUAAUAAGAGAUACUGAAGACCUUGGCGUCUCUGCCAUGUGAGGACACGAGAUGAAGGUGUCACCUGCAAGCCAGGAAGAGAGUACUCAUGAGGACCUGACCAUAUGGCAUCCGAUCUUGGGCUGCUGGUCUCCAAAACUUUCUGUCUCUCUUGCUACCUUGUGAAGAAGAAUUCAACCGCUUCGCCUUCCACCGUGAUUACGUUUCCUGAAGCAUUCCUAGCCACGUGGAACUGUGAGUCAAUUAAAUCCUUUUCCUUUAUAAAUUACCCAAUUUCAAGUAUUUCUUCAUAGAAGCUUGAGAAGGAACUAUUAGCCUGGUGCAAAGGUAAUUGUAGUUUGUGCCAUUGUUUUUAAAGUAAGGGUCAAACCUGCAAUUACUUCCACACCAACCUAAUAAUACAUAUACUAUCCAGACUUCUUGGUUUUCAAAAGUUUCUCUGUUGUAAACACUCCAAUGAUAGUAUAAUCGCAUUGCUAUUUUUCUUUUAGAAGUUUAUUUGCCAAAAUCCAUAACAUAGAAGAAGAUAGAAAUAAUUGGUGCUUAAUUGGUUUACAGUUAUAUCAGAGGCAAUCAUAGUAUGAGUGAAGACCUCAUAAGGAUAGAAUCAUAUCAGUAAUGUUUAUAUCUUCUGUGAAUUAUUAUGAAGCUUUAGUGUCUCUAUUUCUCUACUGAAAUGUAUGUACAGUACCUAGUGUUUCCUCCUAAGUACUUGGGCUUCUCCGACCUGCAGCAUAUAGGCCACAAGCAGCCCAGCGCAGCUUUGAAUGUGGCCCAACACAAAUUUAUAAAUUUUCUUAAAACAUUAUGAGAUUAAAAAAAAAUUUUCUUAGCUCAUCAGCUAUUGUUAGUGUUAGCACAUUUCAUGUGUGGCCAAAGACAAUUCUUCUUCCAGUGUGACCCAGGGAAGCCAAAAGAUUAGAUACUCCAGACUUCAGUGAUUGAAUAUAAAGGACUAUUAAAAAGGUUCUUCAUUUAGCACUCUAGACAGGAGGACAAUUUAUUGCUAAAAUUUUCAGUUUACCGAUUUUAUUUUAUAGCUGCUUUGUCAAAGUUUACAUAUUUUUAAGAUUUUACAAAGCAAUUGUAUGUUAAAUAAAAUUCAGAAAGCAAAUAGAAUAUUAAUAUCUCACAUUAUAUAAUAUAUAAUUUAUACACAGGUAUAUAUACACACAAAAUAUACAUAUAUACAUAUAAAAUAUAUACAUAUAUGUAUACAUUUUUAUAUAUACAUAUGUAUCCAUAUACAAAUAUAUAUACACAAUAAAAUGUACAUAUACA
rnacentral:lncRNA from 1 species